rnacentral:rRNA from 1 species
GACGAACGCUGGCGGCGUGCUUAACACAUGCAAGUCGAACGGAAAGGCCCUGCUUUUUUGGGGUGCUCGAGUGGCGAACGGGUAAGUAACACGUGAGUAACCUUCCCUUGCCUUUUGGAUAACUUUAGGAAACUGGGACUAAUACUGGAUAGGAGCUCCAGCUGCAUGGUGGGGGUUGGGAAGGUUCGGGGGGUGGAGAUUGACGCGCGGCUUAGCACCUUGUAGGGGGGGUAGUGUCGUACGAAGACAUGGAGGGCUAGCCGGCGUGAGAGGGUGAACAGCCACAUUGGGACUGAGAUAGGCCGCAGACUGGUACGGGAGGCAGCAGUGGGGAGUCUUGCACAGUGGGCGGACGCCUGAUGAAGCGGCGCCGCGUGCGGGAAGACGGCCUGCGGGUGAUGAACCGCGCAUGGCUGUGACGAAAUGCGAGUGACGGUAAUGGGUCAAGAAGCACCGGCUAACUACGUG